rnacentral:tRNA from 1 species
GGAAGGAUGGCCGAGAGGCAAGGCAGCCGACUUAUAAUCGGCAGUCCCGGACUAGCUUUCUGAGGGCGAUGAUCCGGGCGUGGGUUCGAUCCCCGCUCCUGCCG